rnacentral:lncRNA from 1 species
AAAACGCAUGCGUAAUUGAGGGCGAAUAAUGUUUAAUUUUGAGAAUAUAUGCUAACACGACAACUAAAUUGUCAGAAUAGUUUAUGAGAGAAAGUUCUGAAAAUGUAUCGAUAAAUGCGUGUAAUUACUGCUCGUCGUAAAGGUGUAUACUGUUAGGUUUAUAGGCUUCAGCGCAAACACCGUCUCAUGAAGACCUUACCAUUGUUCUAGCUCUUCGCCUGUGCGCUACGCGUGCAUCGUUUGAUACAAAAACGCCAAGCUACUGCAUGGAACCACGUGCCACUGGAACAUGUCGUGAAUAUGUCAUUGCUUGGUAUUUUGACCAUACCACAAACAACUGCAAAAUAUUUCUAUAUGGCGGCUGCGGCGGAAAUGAGAACAAGUUUUCUUUAGAAAUGAGGUGCCCGAAGAUGUGCCUCCCGGGAAGUAUACCACAACGCUGCUGCGGGGCUCAGCCACAGCUUACGCCAUGCAGCAGCCGUGCUCAACAGUGGUAUUUCCAUCCCCAUAGAUGGAUAUGCCUGCCUUAUCCUCAAGGUCACUGCGGAAGAAAAGGAAACAACGCGUUUGAAUCAUGUGUUGAGUGCAUGAACAGAUGCACCGACAGGAACUCACGUAACGUAUGCAAGAUGGUGGAGAGAAGAAUUUUGGCAAGAGGACGAAACAGGCGUAACCAAACAAGGACGAACAAAUUUUCGUAACAGGCCUUGCCAGCUGUUAAACGAAAGAAGCUUGCAGGUCAGAAGGAAGUCGGCAGGGAGAAUGGAACAAUUUUCAAUGUGCAAAUGCUCUGCAGAUGGCUGCCCGGUAUUGUAAGCGCGAAACCUUCGCAACGCCAACUUUCUGCGUGAUGCAUUUGAAUGAGAAGGACAUUCGGACUCCAGAGCGGGCUAUUUUAAAAGCAUUAAAAAGACAAAUAAAUGCUAUCACUA